AUGGAAAAGAAUGUGCAGUCUAUUAGCUCUGUAGCAUGCGAUGAGGCCGAGAGGGAGAUUGUUGUGAUCCAGAAAGACCUUAAAGCCACGAGGGUCACCCUUGCCAUCCAUUUUGUAUCACUGUGGUUCACAUUCGGCAGCGGCACCAGACUGGAUGUUGGCAGUAACAGUCCCCCUAAAGUGAUCGUCCUGCCGCCGUCCAGUGAAGAGAUUUCCAGAAAGCAAGCAGCAACACUGAUGUGUGUGGCCAACAAGGGCUUCCCCUCAGACUGGAGUCUGAACUGGAAGGUGGACGGGAUCAGCAGCAGGUCUCAGUACAGCAGUGUUGCUCUCCUGGAGAAGGACGGUCUGUACAGCUGGAGCAGCAGUCUGACUCUCUCUGAGCAGGAGUGGAGCUCAGUGAUCUCAGUCAGCUGUGAGCUCACACAGAAAGACCAGCGUGAUAAAGUCACUGGAGAAUUGAGGAGAGAUCAGUGUUCACAGUAGAUCCACUCACUCUCUCCUCUGUCUCACAUCAAGACUAACAGACUAACUGUGUUUCUCUCUCUCAUCUCACAUCUCUUUUCACAAACAACACAAGUCUAUGUCUGCUUUAUUCAUUCACUCAUGAUUGUGUGACAAUUCAUCAAAUAAAAUCAUAUUCUAUCUUUA